GAUCAUGGCUCAGGACGAACGCUGGCGGCGUGCCUAAUACAUGCAAGUAGGACGCACAGUUUAUACCGUAGCUUGCUACACCAUAGACUGUGAGUUGCGAACGGGUGAGUAACGCGUAGGUAACCUGCCUAUUAGAGGGGGAUAACUAUUGGAAACGAUAGCUAAUACCGCAUAACAGUAUGUAACACAUGUUAGAUGCUUGAAAGAUGCAAUUGCAUCG
rnacentral:rRNA from 1 species